rnacentral:rRNA from 1 species
AUUGAACGCUGGCGGCAUGCUUUACACAUGCAAGUCGAACGGCAGCGCGGGUUUCGGCCUGGCGGCGAGUGGCGAACGGGUGAGUAAUACAUCGGAACGUGCCCAGUAGUGGGGGAUAGCUCGGCGAAAGCCGGAUUAAUACCGCAUACGACCUGAGGGUGAAAGCGGGGGAUCUUCGGACCUCGCGCUAUUGGAGCGGCCGAUGGCAGAUUAGCUAGUUGGUGGGGUAAAGGCCUACCAAGGCGACGAUCUGUAGCUGGUCUGAGAGGACGACCAGCCACACUGGGACUGAGACACGGCCCAGACUCCUACGGGAGGCAGCAGUGGGGAAUUUUGGACAAAGGGCGAAAGCCUGAUCCAGCAAUGCCGCGUGUGUGAUGAAGGCCUUCGGGUUGUAAAGCACUUUUGGCGGGAACGAAAAGGACUGUGCCAAUACCACGGUUCGAUGACGGUACCCGCAGAAUAAGCACCGGCUAACUACGUG